GAACACUUCAUCAAUGCUGAGGCAUUAUAGAGCUCGGCAUGGCAAUGAAGAAUUGGCAGCUACUCGUGAGAGUACCCCAGGGCACAAUCUCUGGAAAACAUUAGAUAUGGAGGUUGCAGAGACCCAGAAGACGAGGAACGCAACAGCUGACUCCAUUAUUGAAGUCCAACGCUACCUGGCAGAAACAAACACACCCAGAAACCAAGAUCCUUUGCAAUAUUGGAAAAGGAACCAGGAAAUAUACCCACAUCUUCAUCAACUUGCACUUAAAACUCUCUGCUCACCAUCAUCGUCUGUUCCAUGCAAAAGAGUAUUUUCCAAGGCUGGGGAGCUGGUGUGUAAGAGGAGAAAUCGCCUUGGAGCAAAGAGACUCCAAAAACUUUUGUUCCUCAAUAAAAAUUCAUGAACUAA